GCCUAGCCGUAAACAAUUAACUUACACCCACACCGCCAGGGAAUUACGAGCAAUGCUUAAAACCCAAAGGAUUUGACGGUGUCCCACCCCACUAGAGGAGCCUGUUCUAUAAUCGAUGAUCCCCGCUUCACCUAACCAUGCCUCGCUUAUCAGUCUGUAUACCUCCGUCGAAAGCCUACCAUGUGAACGUCCGCAGUAGGCUCAAUGAUUCACCAUCAACACGUCAGGUCAAGGUGCAGCUCAAGGAAUGGAAAGCAAUGGGCUACAAUUUCUAACUUAGAACAAACGAAAGACUAUGUGAAAUCCUAGUCAUGAAGGUGGAUUUAGUAGUAAAAAGAAACUAGAGUGUUCUUUUUAACCUGGCUCUGGGACGCGUACACACCGCCCGUCACCCUCUUCGAUAGUACCUUAUUUGUUCCUAACCAAACAUCACAUUUUAGAAGAGGCAAGUCGUAACAUGGUAAGUGUACUGGAAAGUGCACUUGGUAUACUACAAGAUGUAGCUUAA
rnacentral:rRNA from 1 species